rnacentral:rRNA from 1 species
GAUGAACGCUGGCGGCGUGCCUAAUACAUGCAAGUCGAGCGAACGGACGAGAAGCUUGCUUUUCUGAUGUUAGCGGCGGACGGGUGAGUAACACGUGGAUAACCUACCUAUAAGACUGGGAUAACUUCGGGAAACCGGAGCUAAUACCGGAUAAUAUUUUGAACCGCAUGGUUCAAAAGUGAAAGACGGUCUUGCUGUCACUUAUAGAUGGAUCCGCGCUGCAUUAGCUAGUUGGUAAGGUAACGGCUUACCAAGGCAACGAUGCAUAGCCGACCUGAGAGGGUGAUCGGCCACACUGGAACUGAGACACGGUCCAGACGCCUACGGGAGGCAGCAGUAGGGAAUCUUCCGCGAUGGGCGAAAGCCUGACGGAGCAACGCCGCGUGAGUGAUGAAGGUCUUCGGAUCGUAAAACUCUGUUAUUAGGGAAGAACAUAUGUGUAAGUAACUGUGCACAUCUUGACGGUACCUAAUCAGAAAGCCACGGCUAACUACGUG